rnacentral:lncRNA from 1 species
UCGAUCUACCCUUAUCCCCUUUUCCAAAGCGGCGCAAACAAUUACCAGCACGUUCUCAGCACUAGGUCUAAUUGGGUGAGUUUUUAUUGUAGAAAUGCGCCCCUGAAGAUGUGAGACGCGUAGGUGGGCCCCUGCGCCUUUCCACCGGCCUCCCACUGCCCGUGCUCACAGAAGAAACUGGGUCCUUAGACCCAGGCGGGACCCACUGAAACCCCGCGUUCAGUCAUUUCCCAGGGGGAUGCGGCCCCCCAGUGCCAACCUUCCAAAGUUCAGGUGAGUUCACGACGCUCGGAUCCUAGUGGGGUCCUCCUCGGUGUCAAGGAGCAAGAGAGGCCGUAGCAGCUGUGGGAAACAGCCACAGGGCCUGCGAGUCCAGACAGGUAGCUCCAGGCUAGUUGCACGCUCGCGGUUCCUGCCCCUUCCGUGUGCAAAGUAAGGAAGUCAGCAGGCGGCGAGCAAGCCUCCUGCGCCCGGGGCUGGCGAAGAUUUGGCCAGGGGAUCAGAAUCACGGUACCUACAGGUACUGGGAUCGAGACCCUACACAGGCUCCCGACGCCUCGGUCUCCCUUUCCUCUCGGGUUGCCACUCUAGUUCAGGAAGGGUCUUAGGGUCAGGGCGCAGUGUUCCCAGGGGCCAGCAAUCUCCGGCGUCAUGCCCUCCCUACCAUGCUCAAGCUGGCUGCUCUUGGCUAGGUCGGGACGGGGCGCCCGGCGGCCGUGGCUCAGUCCUAAGCUACACCGGCCGCGUCUUCCAGGGGCGAAGGCCGAAUGGCGCAGCUGGCAACCGAUGAAGAGAACGACGAGCGCCACCGAGAGCAGCAGCAGGAAGAAGAGCAGCAGGUAGGUGGGCAGGUCGGGCUUCGACUGCCCCCAGCCCGGCCUCACAUCACUCAGGGACAGAGGGACAGAGAGAGAGAGAAAGAGAGAAAAGCACAGGGUCACAGGAAGACUGACGGGCAAAGACACAGUUACAGACCUAUGAACAGAGCCACACGCAAAACAGGGACAAACCGUUGAGAGUUGGGAAGAUGUGGCAAAACAGGACUUAUAUUCCUUAUGGCAACGAUGGGCUGAGUGUCUGCAGCCUGCUUUAGGCAGGGCACGGCUGUGCAGUCUGUCAUCGUACCUCGUCACUCCCAUCAAUGCUGGCACCAACCUCACUUCUAUUUAUCACCUCAUCUGAUCGGCUGUUUCUUAUAGCAGAGUUGCUGUGAGGAUCCGGUGGACUGAUGCGUGCAAAGCCCCGAGCACAGUGCCUGGUACACGGCAAAAGCUGAAUACUUCUGGCCAGCCCUAGGAAUAUUUCCUUGGGACCAGAGGGCUCUUCUGGAAGCUUCUGGAAGAUGAAUGGCAUCUUCGCACACCUGCUCCGAACAGGCAUUGUUUGGGAUUCAGCGCCCUCUGGUGGCUGCUCUCCCUACUCACACUUAGCCUCUUCCUUGGUGGGGGGGACACUUUGAGGCCUCAUUCCUGCCCCUCCCCUUCCUUUCACAUGGAGGAAAGUUCUAGAAUGGGGUGGGAGAAAACUUUCCACUUGUUCUGCAUUUCCUUUACCUCCUUCCUGACCUUAGGUCUGGGCACAGGAGGCGGGGCUUGGAGGUGGAGGCUGGAGCUUCUGGGGGUCCUGGCUGCAUGACUCUAAGGAGGGUGGUGCCUUCGUUCCCACCCAACCCCCACCGCAUCGGCCCAUACUCCUCCCGGAGCAUCCCUGGGCCACAGGUUCCCAAGGCCACCUCCAGACUGGGCCCGCGAGUGGGGCGGCCCUGGUAGCGUAUCCACA